UACGGGGGGGGCAAGCGUUGUUCGGAAUUACUGGGCGUAAAGGGCUCGUAGGCGGCCAACUAAGUCGGAUGUGAAAUCCCCAGGCUCAACUUGGGAACUGCAUCCGAUACUGGAUGGCUUGAAUUCGGGAGAGGGAUGCAGAAUUCCAGGUGUAGCGGUGAAAUGCGUAGAUAUCUGGAAGAACACCGAUGGCGAAGGCACUUUACUGGGCUAUUACUAACACUCAGAGACGAAAGCUAGGGUAGCAAAUGGG
rnacentral:rRNA from 1 species